CAUGAGGAACUGCACUGCAGAGAACAGAAACCAGCGAGAAGCACACUUAGGCAUGAGUCCCUGGAGAUACAUGUGUUCACCAGCAGUGACAUGAGAGGAUCCACUUGAAAAUUAAACAAGUUCAUGCCUCCUGCCUUUAAGGAGUAGGGGAGGAAACUCCAAGGUAAUGAAGAAACACAAGUUGGAAAUGAAAGACAGAAUAGAUCAAUAUUUAUUCACUAAGCCAGUGCAAAUAAUACAAGCUGCAGCCACAAGCCAGAGGUCAGACCUACAGCAGAAGGAACACAAAAAUGGAGAGAAACCAGUGCCUCAUCCCGAGUGGUGCUGAAGACUUGAUAAGUCAAAAUAAGUCCUUGUAUCUUUUAUGUUUUCUCUUUCACAAAGACAAAAACACAACAUGGGAGCCCGUGACUGUGACACAAUAAUUAAAACGCAAUAGGAUUAAAGUGAUCAGUCGGAAGGACAGCUCAGUGACAGAAUCCCCGUGUGCCCGGCGUGGCAGGGAUGUGAUGUGCAGAGCACUCUCCCCUGUGGCAUAAAUCUGCCACUGCACAGGGAUUGCUUUGUACCGCAGCAAAGCCGCUACUGCCGGGGACAGAGGAGAAAACCAGCGGAAAUGAAACUCGAUGUAAUCCUCUUUUCCUGUUAACUAUUCCAUAUCCUACAUGGGUACCCACAGAAAAGUCACUUAUGAAAGGUAAGAAGCAAAAAACCAACAAAAACAAGAAGAAGAAGAAGAAGAACCUUUGCUAUAGUGACUAUAGUCCAAACUGAAGCACACAGGAGACAGCAUUUCUAAGCACAAAUGCUUGGUCACGUAAAUGGAAAACUUCUCUACAAGUUGCGUAUUUAAUUAACUCUUAUCUAAAGAGGCCUGGCAUAGGAAGAAGCUGUGUCCAUGGUGCAGGGUGCCCUGUCCCAGCUGCUUCCUUGGCCCCCUGCUACGUCCAUGCUGCUCACACAGACACAAAUCUUUGCCAGAAGCAGAGGGGAAGUGCUGACCUUGUGACCUGCCACCACAAAACCACUGUUCCAACACUUCCUUCCUGAGAGCCAGCACUGAACCACCACGGGCAUGUCCCUUCCAACUCUGCUGUUCCCUUUCUGCUGCGCUUCAGGUAACAGUCAAUAUAAUCUCCUGCCUCAGACUGGUCCAAAUCCUCUUUGUGCUUCGCAAUCACGCCUUUCACAAAAUAUUGAAGUUUCUCCCAGUGCCUGAAGAUUUUCCUGAAGGGUCCUGGCAACCAUCUCAUGAUCAAAGGAAAAGCAUUAUAAAGCUGACCCAAGGAAGUGAGGCCAUUUUCACCACAGGCAAGCUCUUGAACAGCAGCAACCACCCUGAUCCACAUUCCAGAAGGUUUUCACGCAGGUGCAGCUGCUGUUUCAUGGUCCAGCACAGGAUGGGUUAAAGAGUCACUCCCAGCACU